GUGCUUCGGUAGCUCAGUUGGUAGAGCACUUGCCCGCGAAGACAAGGGUCACGAGUUCGAAUCUCGGUCCGGCACA